GGAGACAACGGUAAGCUCUUCUUUUCUUCUCUUUUUCUUUUCAGAAAAAAAAGGAAGAACAAGGUCACAGUUUGUUGUGCUAAAAGUAGGAAAAUCCAAUCCGUGCCGGACUGUCCAAUCCAGUCCAAUCCCAUCCCAUCCAGCUUUUGAUUCGGAAUCGAAGUGAGAGAGACAGUGAGCUCAGAAACAACCAAUCAAAUCAUUAGAAAUGAUGAUUCGUGCCACAGAGGAAGCACCGCGUUUCACUUGUUGAUGCGACGGCGACGGCGACGGCGUUUGGGAGUGCGAGUGCGAGUGGGACUUCGCAUUUGAUGUUGACACUGCAACAACAACCGGAUGAGGAGGAAGAAGAAGAAGGAUUAGUGUUAAUUGUGGUGGAUUUGGUGCUUAAUCGCGGCAAUGAAAUCGGAUUAGGUGGGGCUGGCGGAGCAAUGAAGGGCGGGGUUGCGGGCGGUAGUUAUUCCGGGAAGCGGCGAUGGAAGGGGUUGGUGAUUGGAGUGUUGGGUCUGGUUUUUCUUUCCAUGCUCGUUCCUCUUCUCUUACUUCUCGGCCUUCACAAUGGCUUUCACCCUCCCGGAUAUGUACCAGAACAACGAAAUUCGCCUUCAGGGGGUGGCUCGAAGCAUGUAGAUGAUUUCGUGAAAAAUUUCACACCAACCCUUUCAAAGGAUAUGCUAAAGAAUAUUUCACAUAAAGUUAUUUCACGUAAAGCUGAAAAUGAAACCAAAAAUAUCAGUGUCGUUCACAACAAUGAACAAGCCAGUGUCGUCCACAGCAAUGAACAAUCAAAAGGCCUGUUAAUUAACUGCGGAGUUUCAGCUCCACCUCAUGAUGGUCCGCACUCGCUUCCCAUUGAAAAUAACUCUAAAGCUGGUGACUCAGCUCAAAUCAUUGAUUAUGCGAAAGGUGGUGUGGAUCAAAGUGGAAAAUCAUGCGUGUUGAAGUUUGGGAGCUACUGCCUUUGGCGUGAACGACAUAGAGAAGACAUGAAGGAUGCUAUGGUGAAGAGAUUGAAGGUUCAACUAUUUGUGGCUCGAGCAUAUUUUCCUAAUGUCAUGAAACUUCCAUCACGGGACAAGUUGUCUCGUGAGCUGAGACAAAAUAUUCAGGAGGUGGAGCGUGUUCUUGGUGAAAGUACUACAGAUGUUGAUCUUCCCCAACAGUAUGCGCGUUUGGGCACGAACACCAUCUCUUACAUAUGAGUUAUCCUUGAGGAGAUGCAUAUGAAUUGGAUUGCAGCUGAGGCAACUAUUUUGUCGCUGUCCCAGACUCCCCAACCAUGCCAGGCAUGUAAUUCAUUAUUGGUACGUUAAAGUAUGUUAAACACAAGUUUUGGUUUUUUUGUUCCGUAAUUAGCUAUGUAUUUGCCUUAAUCUGCAUGUGUGUAGUGUAGAUAAUCUCAACCAACAUUAUAGAAUCCAUGUUCUGUGAAAAAAUUAGAAUGUUCUGAGAUGGAAAAGGUUACGAUAAAUUGGAAGGUAGAAAUUCUAUUAUGAGUUCUCCUGUUGAUUUGGGGCAGGUAAUAUAAACUUUUAUGUAAAUUUAUUUUUUGGAUGCUUAAUUUCUUCCGAAAACAAAUAGUGUUUAUCAUCACCAAGUUGUACAAAGAAUAUUUUAAAGUGUUUUUUAACCAAUCUAUUGUCAAGUUUUCUGGCGGGUUUCUUAUUUUAUUUUUCGUUGUUUUGCAAGAAACCAGAGCCUUUCCAUGCUCAAGAGUUCCACAGGUAUGUCACCGCUCUUUUACAUAUUUCUGCUUUGAUUUCCAAUACGAGGUUAAAGCCUUUGUUUUCCCUCAAAGGACAUAAAUUAUGUGUUUUCUUUAAUCAUUUUGUUAUAAUAGUGAACCCAUUUCAAUUUAUUACCAACUGAAUCCUAAUUUGUUCAAUUUCUUUUCAUCUGGCAAUUGAGUGUGGUUGUUUGUCAUUCUCUUUGAGGUGAGAUAAAGUUUAUGUCUGUAAAUAUAUGUAUCUUAACAACAACCAUGGGGGUUGCUAAUGGCUUUUUUAUUCACUAAAUUUUUUUUUUUUUCAAGUGCUUCUCUAGAAUUUAAUCCUUUUUGUCAUUAUAUAUAUUGCAGAAAUUACAAGCUAUGCUACAAUCCCAGUUAGUGUUUUAAGUUGUUAACUUACUAUUUAAACUUCAAUUUUCCAGCCCCAUUACGAAAAUUUGCUAGGCUUUUCAGGUGAUGUACAUCCGUUGCCGACCAGGGUGGACUGUGCAUCAAAGAUAUAUAUCUUUGUGUGUCUAUUUACUUACCCUUUUCGAACUUUAUACUUCUCGAGUGAAAUGGUAAUUUAAUUUCUUAAGCUUACCGUUUAUCGCUGUAAAAGAGAGUCCAACCACAACGACUGAAUUGAUUAUCUUCAUGCAUAAGGAUACUAGAUUCCCUAGUCUAAAAGAUUUUAAAAUCAUCACAAACCUCCCUUUUUUCUUUUCUAUUGCAAUUUCUGGAUUAUUAUAUGAUGAUUUUUUAACUUUCCAUAUAUAUAUAUAUAUAGAAAUAGAAAGAGAUGGACUAGAAACGACAUCUCUUAUCUCAAUGACACCAAAGGGAUUUUAAAUGAAUGGAAUUGGGUGGCCUAUUUUCUGAGCAUUAUAAUGUCUACGUUUACACAUUAUCCAACUUGCUUCCAGGAAAUUAAGAUUAUUAAAUGCAUGUAUAGAAUUUUGUUUAAGGGGAGAAAGAAUUUUGAAUUUUAGUCUUUAUUUGAUUCUUAAAUAUUUGUAUAAUUCAAGGAAAGAACAUGUAUGCUUUUUUGGUGGAUUUGAUUCAAAUUGGUGGAUUUCGGUAAGAAAGAAACUUUAAUUUUUUCUUUUGGCGGUUUUAAGAACUGAAAUGGACAUGCAUGAGAUUGAAGAAUUUUUGGUUUAUCUUACUGGGAUGAGAGGGUAUUGUCAGAACAAUUGUUUAGCAUGACAGUAUUAAAUAAUCAAUUUGAUAAAUUAAAAUGGUGUGAUUGAAUAAGAUUAUCUGUUGGGUGAACCUAUAUAUGCUUGAUAAAUUGUUUAAUGAAUUUUCAAUCUCUGUGUAUUUGAGAUUGCCUCUUUUUUCUUUUUUUUUUAAUUUAAAUUUUAUUUGUUCAUGGUCAAGGAAAAUUCUGGUACCCAAAUCAUUUGACUUAAUUUUAUUUCCAGUUUUAAAAGUUUUUCCUGUAAUUUUCUGUAAUAAAAGUAUUGUUUUGUUGCAAAAAGCAGGGCCACUCUGUUUAGGGCUUGAAGAUUUCUACAUUCACCAGGUUUAUCUUCGACUUCAGCAUCGUGCAGGCACCGUUGCUAGUAUAUACUAAAACCGUGUCCGAUUUUUUCAACUUUGCCAUUUUACCACUUCCUGCCUACUCCCCCCUCUCGCUCUUGCUCACCGCUUCAUGCCGCUUUAUCUCCUUUGUCGCUCACAAUCAUUGCAAACAACCCCAAACCAACAAAUCCAUUUUCGCAAUUUCUCUUAGAAUCGCGGCUUCUCUCUCGCUCAUCGCUUGCAAAUCUCAACCGCAGCCGCACUACAAACCCAUCUGGACGGAAAACCCAUAAAGAAAUCUUGGUCGUCGACCGACAACCGGACUGCAACAUCGUCUUGACUCACCCCAGCAUUAGCAGAUUCUAGCUUCAAGCCCUCUCCGACCCUUCUACCCAAAAGCUCUCUCACUGAUUUGUCAUCAGAUCAUAUCAAGCUCCAUUCAUGUCCACUUCUAUUCAUAAGAGCCCAUCUUCUGUCAAUAGCAACAAUGGAGGCUAGGCCUGAAGCCGAACCAGAACCAAAAGAAAUUGAAGAGAGUUAUGAACCUCUUCUCAAAUACAAGAUUUUGCAACAUCGGUUGCAUGGGAGAUAGGGAAGCCGUUGGUGAUGUAGAGGGUGAAGGUUGCUCCACCUAAGGCCAUGUAAAUAAGGGUAAGGGUCAAUAUACCUCAGUUUAUCACACUGAACUCUACUUCUGCCGAAGGUCAGCAAUAAUAGCUACUACAUACAUAUAAUAUACAUAAUACACACACACACACACGUGUAUCUAUAUAUAUAUAUAUAUAUAUAUAUAUAUAUGAUUUUAUAUGAUUAACCCUUAAGAACACACACGCACGCGCACACACACAUAUCUAUAUAUAUAUAUGAUUUUAUAUGAUUAACCUUUAAGAAUUGCAGAUUUGUAAACUAUGAGUAGAGUUUUCUAGGCACAUUUACUUCGGGUGAAUACAUUGUUGUUCAUUUUGGCCUUCUUUCCAAAAUCAAGCCCCUUGCUCAGUUGGACAAAGUUUUCAUCCUCAGUUGCGCCAUACCGACAUGUUUGGUGUCCUACUCAAUGAUUUAGAGUGUUGAAUAUACAUCCUAAAUUGAUACUAAAUAUUGAAUCAUUUGAACCAUACUGAAUAUUUUGUUUUUUAAUAUCAGGUUUGGGUGCCCCUCUCAAUGUAGCAAAAACAAAAAAUUAUCCUCAGUUGCUGUUUAUUGGCCUCGCUGCUAUUGAAGGUGCAAGAAUUUCUGGGGCACCACUAAGUAUUGGGGUGGAGUCGGUGGACCUGAAGCCCAAGAGGUUUGACAAAGGUAUUUAUUUAUUUAUUUUUUACGUUUGGAUUUGUAUUAUUAUAUCCAGAUGCGGAAUAGUGAUAAACUCUUUCGAUGUAAGUCUUCCUCCAUACCAAUGUUAUGUAUAGAGAGAGAGGAAUAAGCUUAAGCUACUUAUGAGUUGGAAUUAAACUUGGGAUGUGGAGUUUCUUUACAUAAGUGGCUUUUAGGGUGAUGAAUCAAACUCAAAAUCUCAAA